rnacentral:rRNA from 1 species
AGUGAACGCUGGCGGUAGGCCUAACACAUGCAAGUCGAACGGCAGCACAGUAAGAGCUUGCUCUUACGGGUGGCGAGUGGCGGACGGGUGAGUAAUACAUCGGAAUCUACUUUUUCGUGGGGGAUAACGUAGGGAAACUUACGCCAAUACCGCAUACGACCUACGGGUGAAAGCAGGGGAUCUUCGGACCUUGCGCGAUUGAAUGAGCCGAUGUCGGAUUAGCUAGUUGGCGGGGUAAAGGCCCACCAAGGCGACGAUCCGUAGCUGGUCUGAGAGGAUGAUCAGCCACACUGGAACUGAGACACGGUCCAGACUCCUACGGGAGGCAGCAGUGGGGAAUAUUGGACAAUGGGCGCAAGCCUGAUCCAGCCAUACCGCGUGGGUGAAGAAGGCCUUCGGGUUGUAAAGCCCUUUUGUUGGGAAAGAAAAGCAGCAGGUUAAUACCCCGCUGUUCUGACGGUACCCAAAGAAUAAGCACCGGCUAACUUCGU